AUGAACGCUGGCGGCGUGCCUAAUACAUGCAAGUCGAGCGAACGGACGAGAAGCUUGCUUCUCUGAUGUUAGCGGCGGACGGGUGAGUAACACGUGGAUAACCUACCUAUAAGACUGGGAUAACUUCGGGAAACCGGAGCUAAUACCGGAUAAUAUUUUGAACCGCAUGGUUCCAAAGUGAAAGACGGUCUUGCUGUCACUUAUAGAUGGAUCCGCGCUGCAUUAGCUAGUUGGUAGGGUAACGGCUUACCAAGGCAACGAUGCAUAGCCGACCUGAGAGGGUGAUCGGCCACACUGGAACUGAGACACGGUCCAGACUCCUACGGGAGGCAGCAGUAGGGAAUCUUCCGCAAUGGGCGAAAGCCUGACGGAGCAACGCCGCGUGAGUGAUGAAGGUCUUCGGAUCGUAAAACUCUGUUAUUAGGGAAGAACAUAUGUGUAAGUAACUGUGCACAUCUUGACGGUACCUAAUCAGAAAGCCACGGCUAACUACGUG
rnacentral:rRNA from 1 species